UCCAAAAAUUGAACACGACAGCAAAGUCGAGAUGAUACAAAUCAACUCCUAGUGGAGGAUUAUAGUUCUUUCUAUAUAAGCUACGAGUUUGAAAAUAUUCAAAGCAAGGUCAUAUCGUAGCGGUAGUGGUAUAUCUGAGAUUAUUCUAAGUUUCCUCUCAUCCAGUAGUUUCGGAAGAACAUCACUUCGUUCAAAAUGAAGCCAAUGAUUUUUACUGUUUGUAUCGUGCUGUGUGCAAUGCUGCUUACAGUCGAAGGUCGUAAACGCCACAAGCGAUCUUCUAGUAGUUCGGGCAGCACCAGCACCAGCACCAGCGGCAGUAGCAGCGAUAGCAGUGAAGAAACCGCGGCGGUUACUCCAGCGGUCCCAGCUCCGGCUCCUACCGCAGCCCCAGCCCCUCUUCUACUAGGUCG